rnacentral:rRNA from 1 species
GAUGAACGCUGACAGAAUGCUUAACACAUGCAAGUCAACUUGAACUUCGGUUUGGGUGGCGGACGGGUGAGUAACGCGUAAAGAACUUGCCUCACAGAUAGGGACAACAUUUGGAAACGAAUGCUAAUACCUGAUAUUAUGAUUAUAUGGCAUCGUAUAAUUAUGAAAGCUAUAUGCGCUGUGAGAGAGCUUUGCGUCCCAUUAGCUAGUUGGAGAGGUAACGGCUCACCAAGGCGAUGAUGGGUAGCCGGCCUGAGAGGGUGAUCGGCCACAAGGGGACUGAGACACGGCCCUUACUCCUACGGGAGGCAGCAGCGGGGAAUAUUGGACAAUGGACCAAGAGUCUGAUCCAGCAAUUCUGUGUGCACGAUGAAGUUUUUCGGAAUGUAAAGUGCUUUCAGUUGGGAAGAAAAAAAUGACGGUACCAACAGAAGAAGUGACGGCUAAAUACGUG